rnacentral:rRNA from 1 species
GAUGAACGCUGGCGGCGUGCUUAACACAUGCAAGUCGAACGGAAAGGCUCCUGCUUGCAGGGGUACUCGAGUGGCGAACGGGUGAGUAACACGUGGGUGAUCUGCCCUGCACUUCGGGAUAAGCUUGGGAAACUGGGUCUAAUACCGGAUAGGACGAUGGUUUGGAUGCCAUUGUGGAAAGUUUUUUCGGUGUGGGAUGAGCUCGCGGCCUAUCAGCUUGUUGGUGGGGUAAUGGCCUACCAAGGCGUCGACGGGUAGCCGGCCUGAGAGGGUGUACGGCCACAUUGGGACUGAGAUACGGCCCAGACUCCUACGGGAGGCAGCAGUGGGGAAUAUUGCACAAUGGGCGCAAGCCUGAUGCAGCGACGCCGCGUGGGGGAUGACGGCCUUCGGGUUGUAAACUCCUUUCGCUAGGGACGAAGCGCAAGUGACGGUACCUGGAGAAGAAGCACCGGCUAACUACGUG